rnacentral:rRNA from 1 species
GUAGGGAAUAUUGCGCAAUGGACGAAAGUCUGACGCAGCGACGCCGCGUGAGUGAUGAAGGCCUUAGGGUCGUAAAGCUCUGUUGAAUGGGAAGAAAAAAAUGACGGUACCAUUCGAGGAAGGACCGGCUAACUUCGUGCCAGCAGCCGCGGUAAUACGAGGGGUCCUAGCGUUGUUCGGAAUCAUUGGGCGUAAAGGGUGUGUAGGUGGCCAUGUAAGUCAGGUGUGAAAGCCCCGGGCUCAACCCGGGAAGUGCACUUGAUACUGCGUGGCUUGAGUACCGAAGAGGGUAGUGGAAUUCCAGGUGUGGUGGUGAAAUACGUAGAUAUCUGGAGGAACACCGGUGGCGAAGGCGGCUACCUGGUCCAGUACUGACACUGAGACACGAAAGCAUGGGGAUCAAACAGGAUUAGAAACCCUAGUAGUCC